UCACUUUGUCGUGUUUAUUAAGUAUCCCAUGUUGCUGCAUUUUGAUUAGUUUGGUUACCAUAAAAAUGUUGUUGAAUAUUUUAAUUUGAUUGAAUCCGUUCACGUGUAUCGAUUGUGGUACUAAACUAUGGGUUUUGAGUCUAUGUAUGCAUUAUGAAUAGGCGUUGAGUCUGUUAAGUUGUAUGGUCAGUUACCUUUCUAUUGUUUCAAGUGUGGCAAGGUCAAGUGUGCUUUGUUGCAGUUGGUAUAAGUCAUGUCUGUUGUGGUUUCCUCACCUGGUUUGUUGUGUUUUAUCUCUGCGGUGCUGCUUAGUCCGUGGUUUGGUUUUUGUGGUUUUGGGGUCUGUUGCAAGUGUUUCUUCGGGGUUGGCAAAAUGUUGUCGCUGUUCGGUACUGCAGUAGUGUUUUGGGGGUCCUGUUAGUGUUGUUUCGGCGGUCUGUAGCAGUCUCGCUUUCUCUGGUUUAUUGUGUCUGUUUUGGCUCUCAACUGGUUGCUUUGGGAGAGUUUGAUUAGCUUUUUGUAAUUCUCUUUUUCUUUGGUUUGUUCUUCCUGCUUUUGCAGUGGUGUUGUAUUGUUUGUGUUCCUUCUAGGUAUGUUUUGUUCUCCCUGCAUACGUUACUGCUACUAUUUCAGUUGUAACUUAGUCUCUAGGAUGGUAUAAAUAAGGGCAAUCCAUCAUGUAUCAUCAUCUAAGUUUGUUGUAAAACUGAGUGUUCUCUUUUGAGACAUUAGAGUGGAUUCUUUAUUGGCUUAUGAGUUAAACAUCAAUGAAUGUAUCUCUCAUAAGUAAAUUUGGUCACUCAACGUGGUUUCUUGUUUUUAUUUAAUAAUAUGGAGUUGAAUGUAUAUUCUAUUAGUCUGUUUGGUUUAUCAAAUUGCUAUAGAAAAUACACUCAAAAAUAUUUUGUAAUUUUGAUACAUCAAGAUAUUAUAGUGACACCACCACCAAUUUUUAGAGAUCAAAAUUUCUUGUAUUUCUAGUGAGAUUGCUUGUAUUUCUGUACCUACUGUUCUUAGUGUAGAAACUGUUUUGCAGCAUCCUUAAAUUUUCUUCUAACCAAGGAAACAAAAUAGUGUUGAUCAUUUAUAAGUUUCUAGCUUUUGGCUCAUCUCUUUAAAUACACUCCUUGACAAGGCCUCGGUUAAAUAGUAAUGUACUUGAUUAGUAAAGAUAUUACUCAACAUGAUGAGACUUGAGUCAAUAUAAUGCUUUAAUUAUCUCUUCAGAAUGAAUAGGAUUAUUAGUUUUAUACUUACUGCCAUGUUAUCCUUGAACACGUUGAAUCCAAAGUUAUGCAUUUAUUAAAAGUUCCUGAUUCAUAUAAUAAAACUAGAUGAAUGAUAAGAGAUUUGGGACUUGAUUAUAGUAAGAUUGACGCAUGUCCUAAUGACUGUAUGCUAUAUUGGAAAGAUCAUAAGAAUGACAUAUCAUGCCAUGUUUGUGGUGCUUCACGGUGGAUUGAAAGUACUACAGAAAGUGGUCAGAUUGAGGAAAACAAGAAAGAACACAAAGUCUCAACAAAAAUAUUAAGACAUUUUCCUUUGAUUCCUAGACUGCAAAGGUUGUUUAUGUGUUCAGAGACAGCCACUUCAUUAAGGUGGCAUCAUGAUGAUUGUUCCAAAGAUGGAAAAUUAAGGCAUCCUGCUGAUGGACAAGCAUGGAAAGACUUCAAUGGUCAUCAUCCUGAAUUUGCUCGUGAUUCACGUAACAUACGACUUGGAUUGGCUAGUGAUGGAUUCAAUCCAUUUAGAGCAAUGAAUUUGAAAUAUAGUGCAUGGCCUGUUAUACUGAUUCCUUAUAAUUUCCCACCAUGGUUGUGUAUGAAGGCUGAGUAUACAAACCACCGGAUGCUUCGAUUUCUUUGAUUCUGGAUCAGUCAGUCAUGAAGCUCACAGUGAAGACUCUGAAAGGAAGCCAUUUCGAAAUCAGAGUUCAUCCUUCUGAUUCUAUAAUGGCUGUAAAAAUGAAUAUUGAAGACAUUCAAGGAAAAGAUAAUUACCCAUGCAGACAACAAUUGCUAAUUCACAAUGGAAAAGUUUUGAAAGAUGAAACUACUUUAGCUGAUAAUGAAGUCUCUGAAGAUGGCUUUCUUGUUGUCAUGCUCAGUAAAUAAUAGAUCUAUGAGUGGUGAGUGUUUCGUUGAUAACUCUGAAGAAGAGGAUGAAGAACACUUAUUUGAUGAAUCAGACGAAGAGGAUGAAGAACAAUUCUUUGAUGACUUGGACGGAGAUGAGGAUAAAGAAUAAUUUGACUCAUUAAUUCUUGUUUAUUUUCAUUAUUUGAUGUAAUAAAUUUCACAUUGAAGGCUAAAUUGUCGAUAUUAAUGACAAAAUUGAUUAACUUUGGUUAGACAUUUAUUUUAAUGUAAUAAAUCUCACAUUGAAGGCUAAA